rnacentral:lncRNA from 1 species
ACCUAUCUCUCCAACACCGCCGGGAACAACACCUACAUCUCCAGAACCACCGGCAUUGCCACCUAGCACUCCUUCACCUCCGGGAACGACACCUAUCUCUCCAUCACCACCGGGAACGACACCUUCCAUUCCACCACCAACACACUCUUCUCCGCCGGGAACACCCAACUCUCCAUCACCACCGGGAAUGACACCUUCCUCUCCACCACCAACGCACUCUUCUCCACCGGGAUAUACACCAUCUCCAAUAACUCCUGUGGUGUCGCCACCAUCUCCUGCUCCUCAUUAUGGAUCAUCCCCACCCCCUCAUUCCCCUUUUUUUUCACCACCACCGGGAACGUCCCCUUCCUCUCCACCAACGCCGGGAACGGUGCCUUCCUUUCCACCACCAACACACUCUUCUCCGCCUGCGCAUCCAACACCUCCAUCUACAACUCCAACACCUCCUGUUGUAUCGCCACCCUCACAUACUCCAAUGCCACCGUCUCAUUCACUAUAUCCACCCCCACCGACAGGUCCUCAUUAUGGCCGCCAAUCAC